rnacentral:rRNA from 1 species
GGCUGAAAUUCGCCUUCACGAAGUCGGAAUUGCUAGUAAUGGCAGGUCAGCAUACUGCCGUGAAUACGUUCCCGGGCCUUGUACACACCGCCCGUCACACCAUGAGAGUUAGGAAUACCCGAAGCCUGUGAGCCAACUUUAUAAGAGGCAGCAGUCGAAGGUAGAACUAAUGAUUGGGGUGAAGUCGUAACAAGGUACC